rnacentral:tRNA from 1 species
GGGAACCGUGCCCGAAUGCUUAAGGACCACUUUGAUAGAGUGACACACGGGGGUUCAAGUCCCCCCGGUUCCU